rnacentral:rRNA from 1 species
UAUUGAACGCAUAUUGCGGCCACGGGUCCGUCCUGUGGCCACGCCCGUCUGAGGGUCGGCGACGUUCUACCCAUCGCUGGGAGGCUCGUGCCCAGCGCCUUGAGCUUUUCGCAGGUUCUGCCUGCGUGGCUUGAAAUGCAGACCCGAAAUGUUUGUUUGUUUGCCUUGUUGCUUGAAAAAGCGUGACCGUCCUCAUGCGAGCAAAGGACAUGGCUCGGAUCAUUGCUCUUGUCUUUGCUCACGAGCACAAUGAAAGCAAGAAAGGCAUGCAUCCCAUUUCCGACCUCAGAUCGGACGAGAUUACCCGCUGAAUUUAAGCAUAUCAC